rnacentral:rRNA from 1 species
CACGUAGGGUGCGAGCGUUGUCCGGAAUUAUUGGGCGUAAAGAGCUCGUAGGCGGUGUGUCGCGUCGGCCGUGAAAACCUGUGGCUUAACUAUGGGCUUGCGGUCGAUACGGGCAUCACUGGAGUUCGGCAGGGGAGACUGGAAUUCCUGGUGUAGCGGUGAAAUGCGCAGAUAUCAGGAGGAACACCGGUGGCGAAGGCGGGUCUCUGGGCCGAUACUGACGCUGAGGCGCGAAAGCCAGGGGAGCAAACGGG